AUUGAACGCUGGCGGCAGGCUUAACACAUGCACGUCGAGCGAGCGGCGGACGAGUGAGUAAUGUCUGGGAAACUGCCUGAUGGAGAGGGAUAACUACUGGAAACGAUAGCUAAUACCGCAUACCAUCAGAUGUGCCCAGAUGGGAUUCGCUAGGAGGUGGGGUAAUGGCUCAACUAGGCGACGAUCCCUAGCUGGUCUGAGAGGAUGACCAGGCACACGGGAACUGAGACACGGUCCAGACUCCUACGGGAGGCAGCAGUGGGGAACAGUGCACAAUGGGCGCAAGCCUGAUGCAGCCAUGCCGCGUGUGUGAAGAAGGCCUUCGGGUUGUAAAGCACUUUCAGCGAGGAGGCGUUACUCGCAGAAGAAGCACCGGCUAACUCCGUGCCAGCAGCCGCGGUAAUAC
rnacentral:rRNA from 1 species